AUAGAAUCUAUAUAGGCCCCCUAUUUUAUAGAAUCUAGCUCUAGUUGACUCUAGACUAGAUCUAGGAUAAUUUCAAGUCUAGAUGUUCAGCUUCAUCUUACCUUGAUCAUGAUGAUUAAUUUUAAUCUGACUUCCUGACUUGUUAACUUAAACUUCGUCUUACUUAGCCCUUAGGCGCCUUAGCCUUAGCUUCUUCAUAUGUGAAUCAUGAAUGGAAGUGCUUGGCUCACAGUGUCACAGAUCGUUCUUUAAACUAUUUGAAGAUCUACUUUAUCUUUACUAACGACUCUAAUCUAUAUCUAGUUUAUAUCUAUAUUUUAUAUGAUAAUAAUAGACCUAGACUCUUAUACUUAUAAUAAAGACAAAGUUAUAAGAUCUAGAAUCUGUAUCUAGAUCUAUUCCCAUUUGUGAUUUAUACACUGAUUAUACACUACAGAUUUAAUGUUUCUGAUGAGCAAUACUACUAUCUACAGCCAUGCCCAUUAACAUAGGCCCUACUCAUGUACUAGAUCUAGCUCUUUUGAUCACAACUCAUAUCUUGCCUAGAUAUAAACAACUGUACUAGAUUGGACUAGACAUUCUAAUCGGUUCUAUUUUCGUUUUUCAUUAUUCUCACAUAUUCUAGUAGGCAAUAGGUACCAAAUUGUGCUAUUUAUUCACUGUAGAUCUAGAUCUUAACUUUUCUCUUAACUACCAAAGAAGUACACAAAGGAUGUUGAAAGGUACCCAAAGGGCUCUAAUUGCUACCAUUCAAUGUGUGGAUUCAAGUAUUUACCCAGAUACUGCCACAAUAUGCUGUUAUUGUUUUCAAAGGAGUUUUCACACAGUGCCAGAAGCUGUAUAAAUACAUUUAACAAUGUAUAUUUCAAGAAGAAAUGAUGCUUUCUUAUUUCUAAGAGUUUAUCAAUAGGAUGAAUGCCACAAAACUCACAUGUUAUGCCAGAAACUCUUCCUACGAAACUUCCAUACUAGAAUUUGUCCAGUGCCUGUGAUCCUCUGAGUUAAAGGAGAAUGUGCUCCAUAAUACCUGCUAGUAGCUUGCUGAUAGCUGGAAGUUCAUGAAUACUAUGUUGUCCUUGAUUUGAUGAUUCUGAAAACUACCAUUUCUUAAGACUUGAGCAUUAUUUCUAUAAUUUAAAAAAAUCUUUUCAGGAAAUAUUGUGUUUAUAAUAUUAAGAAAGUGAAGAUAAUAUUGUUCUUACUAAUAUUAUUGUUAUUAUUAUUAUUAAAAUAGAAAGCACAUCAUUACAAUAUUAACUUGUCAAUAAAUGUUAGCAUUAUUCAAUUUUUAGUUACAUGUUCAGACUAUUAAAUUUUAUUAUUUAAAUUAUAGCAACUUUCUCUUUCAGUCAAGCUUAAGAUACAUUCCUGUAAAAAGUCUAUAAUAAUAAGUUAAUACUUCACAAAAAAAAGUGUUUGAAUGGUUUUCAUUUGUUUGUACAUCAAAUAUGUAUUAAUAUAAUUAUCAUUUUUAGAUGAAACAUUAAAUACUGAAGAUGACCAUUUCAAUUUCUGAUGUAGGCCUAUUCUCAUUUCAUAAAACAAACAGAAUAUUAUCUGAAAUUUCAUCCUUUCAUGGUAACUGUAACUGGCUUCAUAAAAAAAUGGAUUGAUGACUUGGUUGACUAUACAUUUUUGUAUAAAUAAUGCAUCAAUGAAUGUAGCUUAUACUGUUCUUUUCCUCAUCUUGAAAAGUGCUGACUGAUAAUUUGCUGUUGCAUUUUGUUUUCAUAAGUCAAUGACUCAUGAUACUCUAAAUGACAAAUAUCUUCUACUCAUUACAAUAGCACAUUUCCAUGCUGUUUGUCUAAGUGGAAGCAGAUAAAAUUUGUUCCUCUAUUUGCUGUAAAAUCUCAAAAUUCAUGAGCAGCUGAAAAAAAAAAGAAAAGAAAUUCAAACUAGUUUAGACAUGUUAUAAAUAUAUGUUACAAAUAUAUAUAUAUUUGCUAAUAAAAAAUGUAAGACUACUUUAUGUUACAACAAUGGACAGCAUCUUUAAAGCUGAUUUCAAUGCAAUCACAAGAAAUAAUUUUUUCUCUACAAUUAGGCCUGCUUUAAUUAUUUUUUUUUUAAUGUAAAUAAAUUUUAUGCAUAGGAUUAAAUAUAACAUGUACUUAAGGAGAUUUUUUACCUAUUAUUUCACAAUUACAAGUAAUUUAAAGUGAUACAUGUAUUGAUAACACAAUGUUAUUGGAGAAAGUAAAAAAAAAUCUCACUUUUAGUAGAUCCCUUUCAAUUUGAAAGUUAGUGACAAUCAAAUCAGGUUUUUGGAAGUAGUAUGCUCCUUUAAUAAAAAAAAACAACAAACGAAAAAUGCAUUAUAAAAAGUUUUCGCUUUAAAUAAAAUUUCUCUUGGGUGACUUGAGUAGAAAGUAAUAGAAAUAUGAACUUCAUUUAGCAAUAUGCUCACACUAAGCAGAAGUGGGUUUUACUAGUGAAAAUUGUCUGUCCAAAUAAGCUAUUGAAACUACUGUCAGCUUCACAUGAUAGGAACUGUAAAGUUUGACAGUUCUUCCUCUAAGACUUUUAGGUACCGGUAUUAUCUAUCAAGAGCAGGGUAAAACAAGGAUGGGUUUUGGCCAUCAACACUAUUCAGAAUUGUUUCGUCUGUAAUCUCAUAGCGCCUUGGAAGAUGGAGUAUAUAUCCACAGUAGAUCGGAUGGAAGGCUUCUUAAACUGGCUUGACCAAAACGAGGAGACGACAUUAGGGAACUGAUGUUUGACGACGAUGUGACUCUCACUACCAUUCGCAGUCAUGAUUACAAAGGCUAGUCAAUACUUCGACAGCUGCAGGUCAAUAGUUCAGUCUUACAAUAACUCUCACCAAGACAGAAAAAAGGGCAUAAAAAGUCAACAUCAUCAAACUCCAUUUGAGUGAGAGCUUGAGAGGCUCAAAUCUUCUCUUGCAAAAGCUCUGGACAGAAACCCUGCUGUAGUGCAUAUAUGUCACCAUACAGAUCGAGAAUUUUUGGUUUCUCUGACCUGUUGAGACGGAGAUCAGCAAGUCUGGGGCAGUCAAACAGAAUAUGAGGCACGGGGGCACCGGGAUUCGAAAUUUGGCCAUAGCCGUGAGUGGCGUGAGAAACAUGAGGCAACAGGACAGUGGCCUGUCCUGCACUGUGUUAUAAUAACUUGCUAUAAAACAUCACAGAAUGUACUUUUUCUAUUUUAUCAACGACACCAUCUAAAUGCCAAACAUACUUUUCUUACAUUUUUCAACUCGGAGAAAAUUUUACAUCUAGACUUAUUACCUUUACUUUAGGCCUACA